UUGCCGAAGGAACGGCCCGCGUCCGAUUAGCUUGUUGGUGAGGUAACGGCUCACCAAGGCGACGAUCGGUAGCUGGUCUGAGAGGAUGACCAGCCUCACUGGGACUGAGACACGGCCCAG
rnacentral:rRNA from 1 species